rnacentral:misc_RNA from 1 species
GACGAUCCGCUGGAACAGCUUGUUGAGAUGCGGAUACGCACGGGCGAUCAAGUCCUCCGACGCCGACUCCUUGCAGAGCUCGCAUAUCUUCCUCACAGAUUGGAGGAGAUGAGGGUCGGACGCUGGGUCGCCGGCGGCGGCGGAGUCCCUCGCGUUCGCCGAGACUGAUCUCAGGUGGAAGUCCCAGUCGCCCUCCCGAUCGAC